rnacentral:rRNA from 1 species
GACGAACGCUGGCGGCGUGCCUAAUACAUGCAAGUCGAGCGGACGGAUGGGAGCUUGCUCCCAGACCGUCAGCGGCGGCCGGGUGAGUAACACGUGGGCAACCUGCCUGUAAGACUGGGAUAACUCCGGGAAACCGGGGCUAAUACCGGAUAACUCUUUCCCUCACAUGAGGGAAAGCUGAAAGAUGGCAUCUCGCUAUCACUUACAGCUGGGCCCGCGGCGCAUUAGCUAGUUGGUGAGGUAACGGCUCACCAAGGCGACGAUGCGUAGCCGACCUGAGAGGGUGAUCGGCCACACUGGGACUGAGACACGGCCCAGACUCCUACGGGAGGCAGCAGUAGGGAAUCUUCCGCAAUGGACGAAAGUCUGACGGAGCAACGCCGCGUGAGUGAUGAAGGUUUUCGGAUCGUAAAACUCUGUUGUCAGGGAAGAACAAGUACCGGAGUAACUGCCGGUACCUUGACGGUACCUGACCAGAAAGCCACGGCUAACUACGUG